rnacentral:rRNA from 1 species
GAUCCUGGCUCAGAAUCAACGCUGGCGGCGUGCCUCAGACAUGCAAGUCGAACGCGAAAGUCCCCUUCGGGGGGCGAGUAGAGUGGCGCACGGGUGAGUAACACGUAGGUAAUCUACCUUCGGGUGGGGAAUAACCCAGGGAAACUUGGGCUAACACCGCAUAAUGCAGCGGCACCACAUGGUGACAGUUGUUAAAGCGGGGGAUUUUAGGACCUCGCGCCUGAAGAGGAGCCUGCGGCAGAUUAGCUAGUUGGUAAGGUAACGGCUUACCAAGGCGACGAUCUGUAACCGGCCUGAGAGGGCGGUCGGUCACACUGACACUGACAUACGGGUCAGACUCCUACGGGAGGCAGCAGUCGGGAAUUUUGGGCAAUGGGCGAAAGCCUGACCCAGCAACGCCGCGUGAAGGAUGAAAUCCCUCGGGAUGUAAACUUCGCAAGAUUGGGAAGAAUUAGUAGGGGUUAAUACCCCCUAUGAUGACGGUACCAUUUGUAAGCUCCGGCUAACUCCGCGCCAGCAGCCGCGGUAAUACGGGGGGAGCAAGCGUUGUUCGGAUUUACUGGGCGUAAAGGGCGCGUAGGCGGUCAGCACAAGUCAGUUGUGAAAUCUUCGGGCUUAACUCGGAACGGUCAACUGAUACUGUGCGACUAGAGUGCAGAAGGGGCAACUGGAAUUCUCGGUGUAGCGGUG